GACGAACGCUGGCGGCGUGCUUAACACAUGCAAGUCGAGCGGUAAGGCCCUUUCGGGGGUACACGAGCGGCGAACGGGUGAGUAACACGUGGGUGACCUGCCUUUAGCUCUGGGAUAAGCCUGGGAAGCUGGGUCUAAUACCGGAUAUGACCUCGCGGUGCAUGUUGCGGGGUGGAAAGCCUUGUGCGGCUAGGGAUGGGCCCGCGGCCUAUCAGCUUGUUGGUGGGGUGAUGGCCUACCAAGGCGACGACGGGUAGCCGGCCUGAGAGGGCGACCGGCCACACUGGGACUGAGACACGGCCCAGACUCCUACGGGAGGCAGCAGUGGGGAAUCUUGCGCAAUGGGCGAAAGCCUGACGCAGCGACGCCGCGUGAGGGAUGACGGCCU
rnacentral:rRNA from 1 species